rnacentral:rRNA from 1 species
GAUGAACGCUGGCGGCGUGCCUAAUACAUGCAAGUCGAGCGAACAGAUGAGGAGCUUGCUCCUCUGACGUUAGCGGCGGACGGGUGAGUAACACGUGGAUAACCUACCUAUAAGACUGGGAUAACUUCGGGAAACCGGAGCUACUACCGGAUAAUAUAUUGAACCGCAUGGUUCAAUAGUGAAAGCCGGUUUUGCUGUCACUUAUAGAUGGAUCCGCGCCACAUUAGCUAGUUGGUAAGGUAACGGCUUACCAAGGCAACGAUGCGUAGCCGACCUGAGAGGGUGAUCGGCCACACUGGAACUGAGACACGGUCCAGACUCCUACGGGAGGCAGCAGUAGGGAAUCUUCCGCAAUGGGCGAAAGCCUGACGUAGCAACGCCGCGUGAGUGAUGAAGGUCUUCGGAUCGUAAAACUCUGUUAUUAGGGAAGAACAAAUGUGUAAGUAACUAUGCACGUCUUGACGGUACCUAAUCAGAAAGCCACGGCUAACUACGUG